rnacentral:misc_RNA from 1 species
GAGUCACGCAGCUCCGGCGGUGAGUCCUCAGGGAGCGCGUGGUGGCAAUCGAGGUACCGAAUUGCCUUUUGGUACUUGUGCAGCGCGUCUUCGUACUUGCCUUCCUUGAACAGCCUAUUGCCGACCUCGCGCACCUCUUUCGCGAUGCGCAGCGCGACCGGCGGCGCCUGGGAGACGUCCUGGCCUUCGACGGGGUCCUGGUCUUCCGGGU